UACGAUAAAGGCAAACCCUGAGUGAUCAGGGGACGCAAAGGAAAGGGUCUUUAAAUUCACACGGAUGUAGUUGAAGGAUACCUUGACGAAAAAAGACAGCCUUACUGCCGAAG
rnacentral:ncRNA from 1 species